AACGAACGCUGGCGGCAUGCCUAACACAUGCAAGUCGAACGAAGCCUUCGGGCUUAGUGGCGCACGGGUGCGUAACACGUGGGAAUCUGCCCUUAGGUACGGAAUAACUCAGGGAAACUUGUGCUAAUACCGUAUGAUGACUUCGGUCCAAAGAUUUAUCGCCUAGGGAUGAGCCCGCGUCGGAUUAGCUAGUUGGUGGGGUAAAAGCCUACCAAGGCGACGAUCCGUAGCUGGUCUGAGAGGAUGAUCAGCCACACUGGGACUGAGACACGGCCCAGACUCCUACGGGAGGCAGCAGUGGGGAAUAUUGGACAAUGGGCGAAAGCCUGAUCCAGCAAUGCCGCGUGAGUGAAGAAGGCCUUCGGUUG
rnacentral:rRNA from 1 species